rnacentral:rRNA from 1 species
AACAAACGCUGGCGGCGUGCCUAACACAAGCAAGUCGUACGAGAAAGGGUCCUUCGGGGCCUGAGUAAAGUGGCGCACGGGUGAGUAACGCGUGGAUAAUCUGCCCUUCAGUUGGGAAUAACUCAUCGAAAGGUGGGCUAAUACCGAAUAAUGCUGUGAGACCUCGGUUGAUCAGCCAAAGAGAGCCUCUGCUUGCAAGCCCUCGCUGAAGGAUGAGUCCGCGUACCAUCAGCUAGUUGGUAGGGUAAUGGCCUACCAAGGCGACGAUGGUUAGCUGGUCUGAGAGGAUGAUCAGCCACACUGGAACUGAGACACGGUCCAGACUCCUACGGGAGGCAGCAGUGAGGAAUCUUGCGCAAUGGGGGCGACCCUGACGCGGCAACGCCGCGUGAGUGAGGAAGGUCUUCGGAUCGUAAAGCUCUGUCGGAUGGAAAGAACCGCAUAGGGGUAAGCAGCCCCUGUGUCUGACGGUACCAUCAAAGGAAGCACCGGCUAACUCCGUGCCAGCCGCCGCCGUAAUAC